rnacentral:piRNA from 1 species
UCGGAAGUCUUCGUAUGCGGUCUAGCUC